CGCAAACGCAAAAUGAGAAGAUGAUAACACAAUUUGGUCAUCGCCCAUCAAAAAAGAUGAUAGCUUUAUUGCAACAACGAAGCAAAGUUUCGAUUUUUAGUGAAGCUACACAUGAUCUCAAUUUUGUAUCCCAAAAUCAAAAAUCCCCAACUCAAAAUACACAUACUCAAAUUCGAUGCUGAAGCUAAAAGAGAUCAAAUUUAGAACAAACCAGAUUACUAUUGCAGCGAUCGA